rnacentral:rRNA from 1 species
UACGUAGGGUGCAAGCGUUAAUCGGAAUUACUGGGCGUAAAGCGUGCGCAGGCGGUUUUGUAAGUCUGUCGUGAAAUCCCCGGGCUCAACCUGGGAAUGGCGAUGGAGACUGCAAGGCUAGAGUUUGGCAGAGGGGGGUAGAAUUCCACGUGUAGCAGUGGAAAUGCGUAGAUAUGUGGAGGAACACCGAUGGCGAAGGCAGCCCCCCUGGGUCAAGACUGACGCUCAUGCACGAAAGCGUGGGGAGCAAACAGG